UACAGAGGGUGCAAGCGUUGCUCGGAAUCAUUGGGCGUAAAGGGCAGGUAGGUGGUCUCAUUUGUCUGGGGUGAAAGCCUUGGGCUUAACCCAAGAAGUGCCUCGGAAACGGUGAGACUUGAGUACUGGAGAGGGUCGUGGAAUUCCCGGUGUAGCGGUGAAAUGCGUAGAGAUCGGGAGGAACACCAGCGGCGAAGGCAGCUCGCUGGGACGUUACUGACGCUGAGACGCGAAAGCGUGGGGAGCAAACAGG
rnacentral:rRNA from 1 species